GAUGAACGCUGGCGGCGUGCCUAAUACAUGCAAGUCGAGAGGAAAGGCCUCUUCGGAGGUACUCGAGCGGCGGACGGCUGAGUAACACGUAGGAACGUACCCUGAAGUGAGGGAUAACUGCUCGAAAGAGUAGACAAUACCGCAUGUGCUCUAAGGAGUAAAGCUUCGGCGCUUUGGGAACGGCCUGCGUCUGAUUAGCUAGAUGGUGAGGUAAUGGCUCACCAUGGCGACGAUCAGUAGCUGGUCUGAGAGGAUGAUCAGCCAGACUGGGACUGAGACACGGCCCAGACUCCUACGGGAGGCAGCAGUAGGGAAUUUUCCACAAUGGGCGAAAGCCUGAUGGAGCAACGCCGCGUGCAGGAUGAAUGCCUUCGGGUUGUAAACUGCUUUUAUAUGUGACGAAUAUGACGGUAGCAUAUGAAUAAGGAUCGGCCAACUCCGUGCCAGCAGCCGCGGUAA
rnacentral:rRNA from 1 species